rnacentral:lncRNA from 1 species
CUCAGUGAGUCACGAGGUUUAGGUGGGGAGGUGGCAGGAAGGGCACAAGGAGGUGCAAGCUGAGGCUAAAGUAGGUUCUGUCUGCUGUCCUAACUCAAGCCAGAGAUAGCUGUGGAGGUAGGUUUGGGUGAAGGAGGCUGGAGUGAAGAGGGAUCUGAUUAUAUACGUCCCAUGUGGUUAAUCUUUGUUUGGCCUGCAGAGGCUUGCUAGUAGGCAGUUUUGCCCUGGGACAGCAGCUGACCGUCUCCCCAGGCAGCAUAUCUCAGUUGGAUGGACUGACUCCUGCCAGCAUUGGUCCUCAGGAGACCUUCUCUACACCCUUCCCUUCAUUGGUGGCUCAGCUAGAUGCCUCCUAUAGCUCUGUCCACAGUCUAAUGAUCUUAUCAUCCCAAAGCUGAACUGAACUCUGCCUCCUCAGAAGGUCCACAUUGCUGCUGACCUGAAGCUGUCUUCAGCACAAAAAUGGGACAUUGGGAGUGAGGCUGAGUGCCUUGUGGGCAAAUAAGAAGUUUGAUUGCAACAGAUGGAUUUAUUUUGGGGUUCGUGGGAUGCCUGAGCUGAUAAGUGGAGAUUCUUCCACCCAGGUACUGCUGAGCCUACUGUGUGGUGCGUGGAGCUGGCCCAGAGCAAGGCUUUUCUGUAUGAGAUCCGAGUUCUUAGGUUAUGAGCACAGUCUGCCCACAGUCCUCACUGGCUCACCCCACCAUCCUGUUCCAGCCUCACAUUUCACCUCAGCCCUGUUCAGUCAUUUCUUCCCUCUCUCCCUCCCUCCUUCCCUCUAGGCAGGGCCAGCUACCUCUGCUGACUACAGGGGCAUAGGCCCUUGCCUGGCUUCUGCACCUCUGCCUCCUAGGAGUGUCCAGGUGGGCUUGCACACUACAGGACUUGUGUGCCUGGGCAGAUUCUCUGAUUCCUCUCCUUUUAUAAAGGAGAAAGGACUCAGUAAGAGAGGAGGGUGAGGAAGGAAGAGUAGGAAUCACGUGAAGGUGAAGUAGGAAGGAACUAGGUUGAAAGGACACCAAUCACAGAACUGAAGGCAUCAGGAGGUUGAUUAUCUGUGGGCUUCAUGGUCUGGGAGUGGCUUGUGGGGCCCGGUGAGGCUGGUCUGAAUGAGAAGCUGUCCUUGGAAGGAGAAUUCUGUUGCUGGUUGGAGCGCUUUUGGAGUCUGAGGGACUAUGAAGGAUUCAUUUGCAAGAAGGCUAGGAGAGGACCAAACUCAUUCUCUUUCCUUCCACUCUGGAGCUCCUAACAGGCCCUCCUGCUGACUCUUCUGUUCCUCUGUCCCUUAAAACCAGGAGUGAACCUCCAGGUGAUAACUCACUUUCCACCUUAAUCAGUCAUCAGAUUCUCCAGGGCCUUUGUCCCCACUCCUCACCUUACCCCAGUCCCUGCUCCAGGGCUGCCCUGCUGUAAUAGUGUCAUGCUGGAUUAAUCUUUCGGCAGUAUUACUUGACUUCACCAAUUGCUCCUAAACCUUCAGGUGUACUACAGGCUGCUUUCGAUGAGGGCCUUUCCCAAUCUGGGCCUAGCCUGCCCUGCCUUUCUUGUCUUUAACUCCCAGGACGACUCAGUUCAUAUCUGUCUCCUACUUUGAUCAAACUAGACCACCUAUCACUCCUUGAAAACACUUUUCCCACCUCUUCACUUUUUGUAUGCUUCUCUCUAUAGCUGAUUCAGCAUUGAUCUCUCCAUCCAAAAAGUAUUUAUAGGACACUUCUUUUUUUUUUUUUUUUUUUUGAGGAAUUUCUGAUCUACAGAGAGGUUCAAAGACUAGUCCUGUGAAACUUAUACCCUACAUGUUGUUGUUAUUGCACAUUUCUUUCUUUUCUCUUUUUCUGGACCCACUGAAAGUGAGUUACAAGCAUUAAGACACUUCCUUCCUAAAUAUUUUGACCCAUAUCUCCUAGUAAUAAGAACAUUGUCCUACCUACCCAGAAUAUCCUUUUAAAAUAAAGAGAAUUCUGGUAAAAUAAACAUAAUACAAAAUCUACAGUUUUGC